CAAGUGAGCUGGGCGGCCGCGGGCGGGCUUCGGCCCGCACGAGGAAAGUCCGAGCUCCAUAGAGCAGGGCGCUGGGUAACACCCAGUCGGGGUGACCCGCAAGACAGUGCCACAGAAACAUACCGCCGCCCUAUGAGUGUCUAGUGUUUAGUGAUGAGUGUUUAGUUGUUUAGGCGAACUAAACACUCAUCACUAAACACUAGACACUCAUAAAAGGCGGUAAGGGUGAAAUGGCGGGGUAAGAGCCCACCGGCGUCCGGGUGACCGGCCGGCCGCGGUAAACCUCACCUGGAGCAAGACCGAACAGGGGCCGCGCCGGCGUUGCCUGGCAGCGCCGGCUCAGGGGUUGCUCGCCCUGUCCCGGGUUGGUCGCUUGAGACGGCGGGUAACCGCCGGCCUAGAUGGAUGGUCGCCCCCCGGAGGAGCCCCAUACUCCGGGGACAGAACUCGGCUUAUAGGCUCGCUUGGAUC
rnacentral:RNase_P_RNA from 1 species